CAGAGACUUCAUACCUUUGCUAUUCAAUCCUCACUCCUCACUGACAGAGAUCUUGAUGACAGGAAACACGUCCCCGGUGAGCACAGCUUGAUGGCAGGCUUAAUUGGAGAGUGUCUGAUGCCUGAAGGACUUUCCUGGUUGACAACCUUGAAAAUGGUGAAAGAAAGAAAUUGAAACCAGAUCUCACUGAGUGGGAAGGCCUCACUGAGCUGACCUGUGAAAAAAGACCUACAUGAAGUGAUAAGCAGAUAUCUGGGACAAGCAUUCCAGGCACAGGGAACAGCAUGUGCAAAACCCUGGAGACAAGAGUAUUCCUGGAGUGUGAAAGGACUACAAGUUCUCUGCUGUCAAAUGGAGAAAAACAAAAACAAGGGUCAGAGAGCUAUUUUUAUUGAAGAUCUCAAGAAGGACCAAGUCAUUCAUCAAGUGGAGCGGAUGUGGUCAGGAAAAAGGACUGGCCAGAGAAAAUCCAUCUGCAGAGCCUCAUCCUUAUUGGUCAUUUUUCCCCAAAAGACAUCCCAGGAUUCCUGUAUCCUCUGAAUGUGACCCAUCGCCACCUUCAUCAUCAGCCUCAUCAUCAUCAAUGUUUACUUAUUUUAACCAAUAGAUACACAAUAUAAAA
rnacentral:lncRNA from 1 species